rnacentral:rRNA from 1 species
GACGAACGCUGGCGGCGUGCUUAACACAUGCAAGUCGAGCGGUGCGGCGAACGGGUGAGUAACGCGUGAGUAACUGCCCCCCUCUCUGGGAUAACAGUUGGAAACGGCUGCUAAUACCGGAUAGUGGGGGUUGACUCGCGUCCUAUCAGCUUGUUGGUGGGGUAGUGGCCUACCAAGGCGACGACGGGUAGCCGGCCUGAGAGGGCGACCGGCCACAAUGGGCUGAGAGAAGGCCCAAACUCCUACGGGGGGCAGCAGUGGGGAAUAUGGCAGAAUGGGGGAAACGCUGAUGCAGCGACGCCGAGUGCGGGAUGACGGCCUUCUGGUUGUAAACCGCUUUCAGCAAUGACGCGGUAGUGGCAGAAGAAGCACCGGCUAACUACGUGCCAGCAGCCGCGGUAAUAC